rnacentral:lncRNA from 1 species
AAGCAGAACGGGAGAAAAAAGAAAAACCGUCUGUGGAGCGCUGGAAGGGCUCCGAGCUGGCAGCGCUCCUGCACGAAGCUGGGCUCGGUUGGGUUCAGAGCGCACCUGGCGUUCUUUGAUCCGCGCUCACUGAGCUGGAGGAGCGCUCCGCACAAAUCGCCCAAAGGCGGCAGCUCACUUCAUCACCUCACGUUUUCUGCUGAAAGCGACAGCCCUAAAAUUACCGUGAAGCACAUUCACGGCGAGCUCGUUCGGGGUUUGUUCCCUGGACUCAAGAAACCAUUUCUGCUGAGCGCAACGAGGGGGGCGGGCGGGCACUGUAACGAGAUCGGCUCGGGACAAGGUGGCACCCGGGGUGCGGGGAGCUCCUCGGGGCUGCUGUGUUCUCCGGCGCCGGGCUGGGCUGGGGCCGGCCCGGCGGAGGCUGCGAGCACACCGAUCCGUCAGGGCACCGCGCCGUUGCCUUUUACUGACUGCUUAGCUCGAAAGCCGGCUUGCUUUCUCCGUGUUCUGUCCUGCGCACGGAGAAGUACGCUUCCCUCGAGCGCGACUGUGCUUCAGAUAAGGUUCGGAUCCCACUUAAUUCCGAACGUUCCCCGGGUAUCACCCGGCAGCAAGCCUUCCUCGGGCACUCGGCCCAGGGCCGGGGGGUCUGGACGUGUUGCAGACCUCAGCCACAAAGGAGUUCCUGGCACAGGGACCUCAGAAAAGCGCCCGAUACAGCGCCCCGACGGCGGGGGCAGCUGGAGGGCACCCAGUAUGCUCCUGGGUGCCCUCAACAAUCCUAUGGUUAUUGAUUUCUAUAUGACAUAUAGAUAUACACACGAGGGCUGGGUUCUGCAGGCAGAAUACCCCGCUGAAUUGCUUUUACAAAUACAUUGUGUUGUUGUAGGGAUGGUGGUAUUGUGCGUUUGGAUGCAAUCAGUGCACGCACAUACAGGGACGAACACUGUCGUUGACUGCUCUGCUUUUUGCUGUACCUGGUCGGGGAUACCCCGAGGCGUCAGAGCUCUGGGAGCCGUUCGCUGCUGUGGAACCGAAGAGCACAACGGAGAGGGGGACGUCAACGCAAGGUGUCUCGAAGUGAGCACGCUCCACGAUGCCGGUGUCUCACCUUGCUCACUACCGCUGUGUUUCCGUCAUUUAUAAAACCCGCACUGGACCAGCGGGUGCACGGCACCGGGUUUUAAGCUGCCUGAGUGAGGAAAUAAGAUGUUCGAACGAGAUAAAGGCAAUGCUGCCUUCUUUCGUUUCAUUUCGCUGAGAAUCCUUACAGUGCCGGUUUAUGUGACCAAAGCGGGUGCCCUUAUCCAAAUACAUUUUCGGUCUUCACUUGGAAGGUGAUGAGGGUUUGGCUGAUUCUUACCAAGCCGCCUUCCAACUGUGCCUACAACCCAGUCCCGUGGUGCCAUGGACUGCGUAGAUGCUCCUGGAAAUGCUCUGUCCCUUCCACCGAUGUCGUGUCACUGCGGUUUCAGUGGCCGUGGGGCUCCAGACGGCAGCGCCCCAUUAUCACCGCGCCGACGGCUGGCCCAGGCCCCCCAGUCCCAAUAGGCGGAGCGGCCAGGGCCGGCCCCCGC